AGGGGCAGAGAGAGAAGAAGACACGGAAUCUGAAGCAGGAUCCAGGUUCUGAGCUGUCAGCACAGAGCCCGACGGAAGGCUGGAACUCACAAACUAUGAGAUCAUGACCUGAGCUGAAGUCGGUCGCUUAACCAACUGAGCCACCCAGGCUCCCCUCUCUUCUUUUCAGUCUUUGCCUCACCCUUGAGAUUCGAGCAACACCGAACUAUAGUCCCUGAAGGCACAGACUUCACAUGUCCCUGUGUUGAUUACUCUGCACAGACUACCUCUUCCUCCCUGUCCUCCUGGAAACUCCUAUGUCAACCACAACAACACACAGCCUUCUCAGAAAACCUGCUUGGAGUUCCCCAUUUGUCCUUACAAAUAACAACAAAGCAGCGAUAACAGCUGAUACUUUUGAGACUCUACCGAGUGAUUUUAAGCACUGCGUCAAGUUCAUGACAAUUAGAAUUGACAUGACAACUGGACAUCAUUCCCAUUUUACAAAUUGGUCCGCUGAGGCUGUGGAGCAUACGCGGUGGCCCCAGUUUUAGCACCCUGCAAAACUAGAAACGAUGCCCUUUACCAGUCUGAGGACCAAAAGCACUCCGGAGGGUAAGAUUACCCUGAACUUCUCAGGAACCAAAUGGAGAGAUUUUUUUUUUUUUUUUUUUUUUUUUUGCUUUGGGGGGUGUCUGAUGUGAACCAACUGAAAACAGGUUAUUCACUGCAGACAGGAGGGCUGUUCCAUGUCUUUCAUACCAAAGUUCCCUCUGUAGCUUGCCAGCGUGGUUACUUGCCAGGACACAAAAUGACAAUCUAAAUGUUAACAAGUUGUCAUCAAAGAGUGAUGACCACUUUCAAAGAACAAGUAAUCCCCGACAUCCUAUAACGAGGUGAUGGAAGACGUGAUAUUUUAUUCAUCCCGAGGCUUCAUUAAGAAAUCUUC